UGCAGCCUUGUCAAAUUCAGUGUCUCCUUCUCAGUGGACUACACUGGCCAAAAUGGCUGCCACAGUAAUAAGUAACCCAUGGGCUCUACGUCCUUUGUAGUGGGACGCUGGAGAUAGAUGGAGUACUGACAGAU